AUUUUAUUAGUGGUACUCUUGUUGUAUUAUCUCAGAUCAAAAGGGUUCUUUAUGAUGGGACUUCCAAAAGGAUUAAGACGACCAUCACAUCCAGAUUUUAAAACAUCAGUCAAUAAUCCUGGUUAUAGUGUUACAGAUGAAGAGUAUGCUACUAUUGAUGAUAUUAUGGAUGAUCCCAGUUACAAUUCCUCUGACGAACGGAGGUCAAACAUCAAACCACCCGUUCCUAAGCGACCACUAAAGACGUUAUCAAUCCCAGAUAUAAUAACAUCGAGCGAAACUUCCACAUCCGAUCAAAAUGAUCACAACAAACAAAACGGAUUGAAACAGUCCUACUAUUCGCCGUUUAUUGAACGACAGGAUCUGAAACACGUCCCGUCCGGUUAUUCCACGCCAUAUCUACUGGAAGGAUCUGUGGCAGCGACUGUGCCGACCCCGGAAACAACCGAGAGAGAACCAAUUGGAAAAAGCCCGGUUGACCCAAGUGAACGCCCGAGACUACCCGAACCCGUAAAUUUGAAAUCGAAGAAGCCGUCUGUAGCAAAUGAAAUGUCGAUCCCUGAUUAUGUGGAUUUUGGUGAAAUGGACGGAGACUAUAACCUGCCAACCACGCCGGCUAGAUUUUAUAUAGGACGAAUUGAAAACAAAUAAAUAUUUUAGAGAAGAGGGAGUAGAAAGGCAGUGGAUGGACAUACAGUUGAAGGGAGGUCACUCUGGCACCACUGACAAUAAGAAAUCACCCCGGAAAAUCCUGAGGAAUUAUUUCCGUCAACACCUUUUAAUCUUGGAAACAUGAGAGAGAGAGAGAGAGAGAGAGAGAGAGAGAGAGAGAGCAAUACUGCACGCAGCGACCCAUCUACGUCAUACUUCCCAGAAUGUGACACUGCACUGAUUAUCCGCCAUUUAAAACGCUCAUGUGAUCAUUUUGGGGCGGGACUUAUCGACUCGAGACCGCUUUGUUUAGACAACAGAGUAAAAAUAACCCACGCACGUGUGUUUUAUGUAAACACGGCAUGUCGCGGACACUCGCGUAAAAGCGAUAUAUAAUAUGUGCUCUGGGUAAUAUUGCAAUAAA